AUUGAACGCUGGCGGCAGGCCUAACACAUGCAAGUCGACCGAGUGGCGGACGGGUGAGUAAUGUCUGGGAAACUGCCUGAUGGAGGGGGCUAACUACUGGAACCGGUAGCUAAUACCGCAUACCAUCAGAUGUGCCCAGAUGGGAUUAGCUUGUGGGUGGGGUAACGGCUCACCAAAGCGACGGUCCCUAGCUGGUCUGAGAGGCUGACCAGUCAAACUGGAACUGAGACACGGACCAGAUGCCUACGCGAGGCAGCAGUGGGGAAUAUUGCACAAUGGGCGCAAACCUGAUGCAGCCAGGCCGCGUGUAAGAAGAAGGGCUUCGGGUUGGAAAAGACUUUCAGCAGGGAGUCGGUACCCGCAGAAGAAGCACCAGCUAACUCCGUGCCAGCAGCCGCGGGAAUAC
rnacentral:rRNA from 1 species